rnacentral:rRNA from 1 species
GAUGAACGCUGGCGGCGUGCCUAAUACAUGCCAGUCGAGCGAACAGACGAGGAGCUUACUCCUCUGACGUUAGCGGCGGACGGGUGAGUAACACGUGGAUAACCUACCUAUAAGACUGGGAUAACUUCGGGAAACCGGAGCUAAUACCGGAUAACAUGUUGAACCGCAUGGUUCAACAGUGAAAGACGGUCUUGCUGUCACUUAUAGAUGGAUCCGCGUCGCAUUAGCUAGUUGGUAAGGUAACGGCUUACCAAGGCAACGAUGCGUAGCCGACCUGAGAGGGUGAUCGGCCACACUGGAACUGAGACACGGUCCAGACUCCUACGGGAGGCAGCAGUAGGGAAUCUUCCGCAAUGGGCGAAAGCCUGACGGAGCAACGCCGCGUGAGUGAAGAAGGUCUUCGGAUCGUAAAACUCUGUUAUUAGGGAAGAACAAAUGUGUAAGUAACUAUGCACGUCUUGACGGUACCUAAUCAGAAAGCCACGGCUAACUACGU